UUCAGUGGUUGUCGUUUGUUUAUGUGUUACAUUUUUUUUUUUGUUCAUUUUUUUUACAUAAAUAAGGCCGUUAGUUUUCUCGUUUGAAUUGUUUUACAUUGUCUUAUCAGGGCCUUUUAUAGCUGACUAUGUGGUUUGGGCUUUGCUCAUUGUUGAAGGCCGUACGGUGACCUAUAGUUGUUAAUGUCUGUGUCAUUUUGGUC
rnacentral:lncRNA from 1 species